rnacentral:rRNA from 1 species
GAUAACCUCGGGAAACUGGGUAUAAUACCCGAUAGGUCUCGAUUGCUGGAAUGCAUCAAGAUUUAAAGCUCCUGCGCCUAAGGAUGGGUCUGCGGCCUAUCAGGUAGUAGUGGGUGUAGCGUACCUACUAGCCUACGACGGGUACGGGUUGUGAGAGCAAGAGCCCGGAGAUGGAUUCUGAGACACGAAUCCAGGCCCUACGGGGUGCAGCAGGCGCGAAAACUUUACAAUGCUGGCAACAGCGAUAAGGGAACCUCGAGUGCCAGGUUACAAAUCUGGCUGUCGAGAUGCCUAAAAAGCAUUUCAUAGCAAGGGCCGGGCAAGACCGGUGCCAGCCGCCGCGGUAACACCGGCGGCUCGAGUGGUAACCGUUAUUAUUGGGUCUAAAGGGUCUGUAGCCGGCCGGAUAAGUCUCUUGAGAAAUCUGGCAGCUUAACUGUCAGGCUUUCAGGAGAUACUGUCUGGCUCGAGGCCGGGAGAGGUGAGAGGUACUUCAAGGGUAGGGGUGAAAUCUUGUAAUCCUUGAAGGACCACCAGUGGCGAAGACGUCUCACCACAACAGACCUGACGGCGAGGGACGAAAGCUACGGGCACGAACCAGAUUAUAUACCCGGGUAGUCCUAGCCGUAAACGAUACUCGCUAGGUGUCGGCCACGGUGCGACCGUUGUCGGUGCCGCCGGGAAGCAGUGAAGCGAGCCACCUGGUAAGUACGGCCGCAAGGCUGAAACUUAAUGGAGUUGUCUGGGGAGCACCACAACGGGUGGAGCUUGCGGUUUUAUUUGGAUUCAACGCCGGAGAUCUUACUCUGGACCGACGACUAUUAUAAUGGCGAGGCUGGAGACGUUGCCGGAUUAGCUUAAUAAAGAGGAGGAU